rnacentral:lncRNA from 1 species
AGAAACCUUGGACAAUACCUGGCUUUCCUAGGCAGAGGUCCCUGCAGCCUUCCGCAGUGUUUGUGUCCCUGGGUACUUGAUUCAUUUUUUUUUUUUUUUUUUGAGAGGGAGUUUUGCUCUGUCGCCCAGGCUGGAGUGCAAUGACGUGAUCUCUGCUCACUGCAAGCUCCGCCUCCCAGGUUCACGCCAUUCUCCUGCCUCAGC